rnacentral:rRNA from 1 species
GACGAACGCCGGCGGCGUGCCUCAAACAUGCAAGUCGAGCGGGGAACUUUUAAAAGCGCAAGCUUUUAUAAGUUCCUAGCGGCGAACGGGUGAGUAACACGUGAGUAACCUGCCUUUCACUGGGGAAUAACAUCGAGAAAUCGGUGCUAAUACCGCAUAAUGUCACGAGACCGCAUGGUUUUGUGACCAAAGGAGUAAUCCGGUGAUAGAUGGACUCGCGUCCGAUUAGAUAGUUGGUGAGGUAACGGCCCACCAAGUCUACGAUCGGUAGCCGAACUGAGAGGUUGAUCGGCCACAUUGGGACUGAGACACGGCCCAGACUCCUACGGGAGGCAGCAGUGGGGAAUAUUGGGCAAUGGGCGAAAGCCUGACCCAGCAACGCCGCGUGAAGGAAGAAGGUCUUCGGAUUGUAAACUUCUUUGAUCAGGGACGAAUAAAUGACGGUACCUGAAGAACAAAGCCACGGCUAACUACGUG